rnacentral:rRNA from 1 species
GACGAACGCUGGCGGCGUGCUUAACACAUGCCAGUUGAACGGUGAAGCGCCUUCCUUUUUGGUGGGUGUGGAUGAGUGGCGGACGGGUGAGUAACACGUGAGUAACCUGCCCCCUUCUUCUGGAUAACCGCAUGAAAGUGUGGCUAAUACGGGAUAUUCUGGGUCUGUCGCAUGAUGGGUCUGGGAAAGAUAUUGUUUCGGUGGGGGAUGGGCUCGCGGCCUAUCAGCUUGUUGGUGGGGUGAUGGCCUACCAAGGCGGUGACGGGUAGCCGGCCUGAGAGGGUGGACGGUCACACUGGGACUGAGACACGGCCCAGACUCCUACGGGAGGCAGCAGUGGGAAAUAUUGCACAAUGGGCGCAAGCCUGAUGCAGCGACGCCGCGUGAGGGAUGGAGGCCUUCGGGUUGUGAACCUCUUUCGCCAGUGAAGCAGGCCUGCCUCGUUUGUGGGUGGGUUGACGGUAGCUGGAUAAGAAGCGCCGGCUAACUACGUG